AGCAGCGUGGCUCAGUGGAAAGAGCACGGGCUUGGGAGUCAGAGGUCAUGGGUUCGAAUCCCAGCUCUGCCG
rfam:Ornithorhynchus anatinus chromosome X1, whole genome shotgun sequence.